GCGCGUCGAUAGCACGUUGAAUACACCAGUUCCCAUUGGAUCAAUGAGGCUAAGCAAUGUUACGCGUGGUUGGUAUCCGGACUGGUGACUAUCUGAGCAAUGGCGAGCUGCUAGCU
rnacentral:rRNA from 1 species